ACCGAGGCUUGUAAUCUUUUGCAAAGCUAUAGAAAUAUAGUGGAGGCUAUCAGAAUGACAGGUGGUGCAUGGCUGUCGUCAGCUCGUGUCUUGAGAUGUUUGGUUAAGUCCCGUAACGAGCGCAACCCUACUCUUUAGUUAACCAGUUCUAAAGUGACUGAAUCGUAAGAUAUAGGAAGGUUGGGGCCAAGUCAAGUCAUCAUGCCCCUUAUGCCUCGGGCUGCAAACGUGCUACAAUGGUAGGUACAAUGUGUUGCAAUCUAGCAAUAGUGAGCAAAUCACCCAAAACCUAUCUCAGUCCGGAUAAAAGGCUGCAAUUCGCCUAUUUGAAGUUGGAAUCAC
rnacentral:rRNA from 1 species